rnacentral:rRNA from 1 species
UACGUAGGGUGCGAGCGUUAAUCGGAAUUACUGGGCGUAAAGCGUGCGCAGGCGGCUUCGCAAGUCAGACGUGAAAGCCCCGGGCUUAACCUGGGAAUGGCGUUUGAAACUACGGAGCUGGAGUGUGGCAGAGGGGGGUGGAAUUCCACGUGUAGCGGUGAAAUGCGUAGAUAUGUGGAGGAACACCGAUGGCGAAGGCAGCCCCCUGGGCCAACACUGACGCUCAUGCACGAAAGCGUGGGGAGCAAACAGG